AAGGUAGCAUAAUCAUUUGUCUUUUAAUUGAAGGCUGGAAUGAAGGAGGCGACGAAAUUUAGGCUAUUGGUUUGUUAAAUAAAAUUAACAUAAUGGUUAAAAGGCCUUUAUAAACUAAAGGGACGAUAAGACCCUAUAAAACUUUACUAUAAAGUGGGUUUACUAGAUAAAAUUUAAAUUUAUAGUUUAGCUGGGGUGGUUUAUAUAAAAACAAUUGUAGUAUAAAUAUUUUAAAUAAAAUUUGAGAUCUCUAAUAGGAAAUAAAUAAGUUACUUUAGGGAUAACAGCAUAAUUUUCCCAGAGAGUCCUAAUUGGCGGGGGAGUUUAUGACCUCGAUGUUGAAUUGGGGUAUCUAGUGUGAGUAGAAACAUAUUAAGAUAGUCUGUUCGACUAUUAAAUCCCC
rnacentral:rRNA from 1 species